AAAGUUAUAGUCAAGUAUGACAUUUGGGUUGCAUUCAAAAAGUGCUUCUUUAGAAGCUAACUUUG
rnacentral:tRNA from 1 species